CUCAGUCAGGGUGUGCUGAAGCCACCGAGCGCUUCUUUCUCCGCAGGAACCGAAGCCCUACCGUGGCAGAUGGCCCUCCAGCCACACAGCUUACUGGUGCGUCUUCUCCGUGGGCACCGAGGACAAUGAGGAAUGCAAAAGUUAUCUACUCUUCAGUUUUAUUCCUCGGGGCCCAAAUCCUGCAAUGAAUCUUUCUUCAUACAAACACCCAAGGAUGCAUAAGUAUGAAACUCAGUAUUGCUGGAGGUGCUGGGGCAGGAACAACUUCUGCAAGAAAUCAGUGCAAGAUUUGAGAACCUGGUACCCUCUUCCCAUCCUUGGAGCUUUCAUCUCCUUGACAGCAAGUUCAUCCUGAAGAAUCAAACACCAAUUUAAAAGAAAAAGAAGAAAUCAAGAACUGGAACAAGGGAAACUUUCCAGCCAAAGAACCCUUUAAUAGCAAUCUAUUAGACAAAUCCCAGGCCUAGGGGGUUGUUACAGAGGUUUUGGAUUCCUGCCAGAAUUUUUUUAUUUUUUUUGUGUCUCCAAAUGUGUAUUGUCUGAAUGCAGCUGAAAAGGGGAAUCAUUCAGUGUAAUCAGAAGUUUUUCCAGUCUCAUGGAAGUCCCUGUUUCUGAUGGAAUGUGUGAUCCUUAAUAGCCAAGGGAGCUGACUGUUAAAUAUCAUUUGUUAUUAAUUUGUAUGGUAAAGAGUCUGAAACCUUUGAAAUGCAGAUUGUCAGCUCUGUAGUUAGACCUGAACUGAAAUGAUAAAUUCCAGAAGUCA